CAGAGCUGUAUAGUCUUGCAUGGAAUAAUGGAAUAGGACUUCGGUUCUAUUUUGUUGGUUUUCGGACCCGGAGUAAUGAUUAAAAGAGACUGCCGGGGGCAUUUGUAUGGUGGCGUUAGAGGUGAAAUUCUUGGAUCGCCGCCAGACAAUCUACUGCGAAAGCAUUUGCCAAGAAUGUCUUCAUUAAUCAAGAACGAAAGUCAGAGGUUCGAAGACGAUCAGAUACCGUCCUAGUUCUGACCAUAAACGUUGCCGACCAACAAUCGGGGGUGGUUUGACUUUAUUGACCCUCCCGGCUGUCCCUGGGAAACCUUAAGUAAGGUUCUGGGGGGAAUAUGGUCGCAAGGCCGAAACUUAAAGGAAUUGACGGAAGGGCACCACCAGGAGUGGAGCCUGCGGCUUAAUUUGACUCAACACGGGGAAACUCACCCGGCCCGGACACUGUAAGGAUGGACAGAUUAAAAGCUCUUUCUUGAUUCAGUGGGUGGUGGUGCAUGGCCGUUCUUAGUUGGUGGAGUGAUUUGUCUGGUUAAUUCCGAUAACGAACGAGACUCUGGCCUGCUAAAUAGUACGUCAGUAUUGAUUCUCAGCAAUGGGAAUUCUAGCUGGCGCUGACUUCUUAGAGGGAUACGCAGUAUCCAAACUACAAGAAAUAGAGCAAUAACAGGUCUGUGAUGCCCUUAGAUGUCCGGGGCCGCACGCGCGCUACAAUGACAGCUUCAGAGAGUUUUGAAACCUGGUCCGAAAGGAUUGGGAAAUCUUGGCAUAGCUGUCUCCUCAGGGAUUGGGGCUUGUAACUAUUCCCCAUGAACGAGGAAUUCCCAGUAGGCGCAAGUCAUCAGCUUGCGCCGAUUACGUCCCUGCCCUUUGUACACACCGCCCGUCGCUACUACCGAUUGAAUGGUUUAGUGAGGUCCUCGGAUUGCGGCUUUUGCGAUGGCAACAUUGCUUGAGUUGUGAGAAGACGAUCGAAC
rnacentral:rRNA from 1 species